GAUGAACGCUGGCGGCGUGCCUAAUACAUGCAAGUCGAGCGAACGGACGAGAAGCUUGCUUUUCUGAUGUUAGCGGCGGACGGGUGAGUAACACGUGGAUAACCUACCUAUAAGACUGGGAUAACUUCGGGAAACCGGAGCUAAUACCGGAUAAUAUUUGAACCGCAUGGUUCAAAAGUGAAAGACGGUCUUGCUGUCACUUAUAGAUGGAUCCGCGCUGCAUUAGCUAGUUGGUAAGGUAACGGCUUACCAAGGCAACGAUGCAUAGCCGACCUGAGAGGGUGAUCGGCCACACUGGAACUGAGACACGGUCCAGACUCCUACGGGAGGCAGCAGUAGGGAAUCUUCCGCAAUGGGCGAAAGCCUGACGGAGCAACGCCGCGCGAGUGAUGAAGGUCUUCGGAUCGUAAAACUCUGUUAUUAGGGAAGAACAUAUGUGUAAGUAACUGUGCACAUCUUGACGGUACCUAAUCAGAAAGCCACGGCUAACUACGUG
rnacentral:rRNA from 1 species